rnacentral:tRNA from 1 species
GGCCCCAUAGUCCAGCGGUUAGGACGCCGGGUUCUCAUCCCGGAAACCGGGGUUCGAUUCCCCGUGGGGUCA